rnacentral:rRNA from 1 species
AUGAUUGUCUUGUAAUUGGAAUGAACCAAAUUUAAUAUCCAUGAUAAGUACCAAUUGGAGGGCAAGUCUGGUGCCAGCAGCCGCGGUAAUUCCAGCUCCAAUAGCGUAUAUUAAAGUUGUUGCAGUUAAAAAGCUCGUAGUUGAAUUUCUGGUGGGAGUGUACAGUCCGACACUGAGUGUUGGUUCUUGUGUGUCUCCGGCCAUCCUUGGAGUGAAUCUAUCUGGCAUUCAGUUGUUGGGUAGAGUAUCUCCAUCGUUUACUGUGAGGAAAGGAAAGUGUUCAAAGCAGGCUUACGCCGUUGAAUCUUUUAGCAUGGAAUAAUAAGAUAGGAUCUUGAUACUAUUUUGUUGGUUUGCGUGUCGAGAUAAUGAUCAAUAGGGACAGUUGGGGGUAUUUGUAUUCCAUAGUCAGAGGUGAAAUUCUUGGAUUUAUGGAAGACAAACUAAUGCGAAAGCAUUUACCAAGGAUGUUUUCAUUAAUCAAGAACGAAAGUUAGGGGAUCGAAGAUGAUUAGAUACCAUCGUAGUCUUAACCAUAAACUAUGCCGACAAGGGAUUGGUGGAGUCUCGUUAUGUCUCCAUCAGCACCUUAUGAGAAAUCACAAGUCUU